UACGUAGGGGGCAAGCGUUGUCCGGAUUUAUUGGGCGUAAAGAGCGUGUAGGCGGCCAAGCAGGUCCGCUGUGAAAACUCGAGGCUCAACCUCGAGACGUCGGUGGAAACCGUUUGGCUAGAGUCCGGAAGAGGAGAGUGGAAUUCCUAGUGUAGAGGUGAAAUUCGUAGAUAUUAGGAAGAACACCAGUGGCGAAGGCGGCUCACUGGCCCGGUACUGACGCUGAGGCGCGAAAGCGUGGGGAGCAAACAGG
rnacentral:rRNA from 1 species